rnacentral:rRNA from 1 species
CAUAGGUUAAUGAGGCGAACCGGGGGAACUGAAACAUCUAAGUACCCCGAGGAAAAGAAAUCAACCGAGAUUCCCCCAGUAGCGGCGAGCGAACGGGGAGCAGCCCAGAGCCUGAAUCAGUGUGUGUGUUAGUGGAAGCGUCUGGAAAGGCGCGCGAUACAGGGUGACAGCCCCGUACACAAAAAUGCACAUGCUGUGAGCUCGAUGAGUAGGGCGGGACACGUGGUAUCCUGUCUGAAUAUGGGGGGACCAUCCUCCAAGGCUAAAUACUCCUGACUGACCGAUAGUGAACCAGUACCGUGAGGGAAAGGCGAAAAGAACCCCGGCGAGGGGAGUGAAAAAGAACCUGAAACCGUGUACGUACAAGCAGUGGGAGCACAGAGCAAUCUGUGUGACUGCGUACCUUUUGUAUAAUGGGUCAGCGACUUAUAUUCUGUAGCAAGGUUAACCGAAUAGGGGAGCCGAAGGGAAACCGAGUCUUAACUGGGCGUUAAGUUGCAGGGUAUAGACCCGAAACCCGGUGAUCUAGCCAUGGGCAGGUUGAAGGUUGGGUAACACUAACUGGAGGACCGAACCGACUAAUGUUGAAAAAUUAGCGGAUGACUUGUGGCUGGGGGUGAAAGGCCAAUCAAACCGGGAGAUAGCUGGUUCUCCCCGAAAGCUAUUUAGGUAGCGCCUCGUGAAUUCAUCUCCGGGGGUAGAGCACUGUUUCGGCAAGGGGGUCAUCCCGACUUACCAACCCGAUGCAAACUGCGAAUACCGGAGAAUGUUAUCACGGGAGACACACGGCGGGUGCUAACGUCCGUCGUGAAGAGGGAAACAACCCAGACCGCCAGCUAAGGUCCCAAAGUCAUGGUUAAGUGGGAAACGAUGUGGGAAGGCCCAGACAGCCAGGAUGUUGGCUUAGAAGCAGCCAUCAUUUAAAGAAAGCGUAAUAGCUCACUGGUCGAGUCGGCCUGCGCGGAAGAUGUAACGGGGCUAAACCAUGCACCGAAGCUGCGGCAGCGACGCUUAUGCGUUGUUGGGUAGGGGAGCGUUCUGUAAGCCUGUGAAGGUGUGCUGUGAGGCAUGCUGGAGGUAUCAGAAGUGCGAAUGCUGACAUAAGUAACGAUAAAGCGGGUGAAAAGCCCGCUCGCCGGAAGACCAAGGGUUCCUGUCCAACGUUAAUCGGGGCAGGGUGAGUCGACCCCUAAGGCGAGGCCGAAAGGCGUAGUCGAUGGGAAACAGGUUAAUAUUCCUGUACUUGGUGUUACUGCGAAGGGGGGACGGAGAAGGCUAUGUUGGCCGGGCGACGGUUGUCCCGGUUUAAGCGUGUAGGCUGGUUUUCCAGGCAAAUCCGGAAAAUCAAGGCUGAGGCGUGAUGACGAGGCACUACGGUGCUGAAGCAACAAAUGCCCUGCUUCCAGGAAAAGCCUCUAAGCAUCAGGUAACAUCAAAUCGUACCCCAAACCGACACAGGUGGUCAGGUAGAGAAUACCAAGGCGCUUGAGAGAACUCGGGUGAAGGAACUAGGCAAAAUGGUGCCGUAACUUCGGGAGAAGGCACGCUGAUAUGUAGGUGAGGUCCCUCGCGGAUGGAGCUGAAAUCAGUCGAAGAUACCAGCUGGCUGCAACUGUUUAUUAAAAACACAGCACUGUGCAAACACGAAAGUGGACGUAUACGGUGUGACGCCUGCCCGGUGCCGGAAGGUUAAUUGAUGGGGUUAGCGGUAACGCGAAGCUCUUGAUCGAAGCCCCGGUAAACGGCGGCCGUAACUAUAACGGUCCUAAGGUAGCGAAAUUCCUUGUCGGGUAAGUUCCGACCUGCACGAAUGGCGUAAUGAUGGCCAGGCUGUCUCCACCCGAGACUCAGUGAAAUUGAACUCGCUGUGAAGAUGCAGUGUACCCGCGGCAAGACGGAAAGACCCCGUGAACCUUUACUAUAGCUUGACACUGAACAUUGAGCCUUGAUG